ensembl:lncRNA
GCUGGGAAAGACUGAGGUCAGAAGGAGAAGAGGGCAUCAGAGGAUGAGAUGGCUGCAUAUCAUCACCGAUGCAAUGGACAUGAACUUGGACAAACUCUGGGAGAUGGAGAGAGACAGAGGCCUGGAGUGCUGCAGUCCAUGAGGCUGCAAAGAGUCGGAGGCGACUGGGUGACUGAACAACAAUUUCAUUUGCAUGCACUCCACCCUCAUGACAUAAUAGGCCUUGCCUCCUAAUACCAUCACACCGGGAGUUAAGAUUUCAGCAUAUGAAUCUGGGGAUUCCCCUCUGGGGAAGGGACAGAGAACAGGCAUUCAGAUCAUUGAAAAGUAAUCAAGAAAUGUACUUUUGCUGUAGAAAAAUUAGAAAAUACAGUGACAUAAGCAGCGAACAUUUAUUUCACAUGGUUCUGGAGGAUGGGAAGUCCAAGAUCAAGCUGGCAACAGAUUCUGUGUAAGAACCCCUUCCUGGUUUGCAGACUACCAUCUUGUCUUGUGUCCUUGUGUGGCCUUUCCUUGGUAGUUUGUGUUAUGAAGACUUCAUCUUAAUGUUCAAGUGGAUGAAUGCAAAAGUCUUCAUGACCGUAAUGCCAGUGGAGCAGGACAACUGUUAGCCUAAGAAGUAGAAGACUAAAAAUGGUUUCAACAAUUUACAUUCCCUGGUUGGUGAAGAAUUUGAAGUUCUACUUUACACAAAAUGAUAUUACUUGAAUCUGACAGUGAACAGUCAAAGCUAUGAAACCGCAUAGGAAAGUUUUGAACGGGAACUAAUCCUCACAGUGUGAAGUUGGAAUGAUUAUUUAGACAUUUUGGGAAAAAGCCAACUGCCUUGAUCUGGAGGACUCCUAAUGUCAUCUUUUUCUCCCCAUGGCACCCAGACUCUCCCCUCCCUCUUCUUGACAGCAACAACAGUCAAAGGCAAGCAUGCUUUUGACUUCAGAGAAGUCCUUGGAGGUGGUACAGUCAUUAAGAUGCAGAAGCUGUUACCCAAAAUCUGGGUUCACCUCUUGGUGGGUGAAGAGCCAGAAGACCCAACCAAGUCACGGAUCAGGGGACGGAAGGAUUUAUUAUUACUUGCAGCAAGUAAAGAGAACACUGGGGAUCUUUCUCAAAAUGGUAUCUCCCUGAGCAGCAAAAUUGGGGCAGUUUUAAGCUAAGGGUACAUGCAUAUUCAUGAAGGAGCAUGAGCGGUGGACAGAAUCCAAGCUUUAAUUGGUGGGAGUCGGGAGGGUCAGAGAAGGUCAACAUUCUCACCCUUAGGUUCCAGGUGAUCUGGGGGUUGAGCCUUCAGGCUAAUCUUUACCACUGAAACAGGACUGGAGUCUUUACAGCUGGGAGCCUCUGCUGUUGUUACUUCUCUUGCCUGACAAUAUCGUUUGUUCCUGCGUUCUAUUGUUCCCUUAAGAUCAUUGUUACUGAGAUCUGUUCAAGGAG